CAGAACCAGAGGAGGAACGUGUGGGAGCCGGAAGGAAAGGCACUGAGAAAAGCACUUGCAGGGCCCACAGCUGCCACCAGAGCAGGAAGCUCUUAGGGUUCCUGCCAUGUGGAUUCAGAGGGAGAUCAACUGGGAAGCAGGGAGAGGUGACAUCGUGGCUCUGAAUCCUCUCCAGCAAUCUGCUCUAAUGUUCUGAUAAGUUCAGCAUUAUCAGAAGUAUGACACAGAGAUCCCAACAGGACUAUUUUUGCCUGCGCUUGUGUCUGUCUUACCGAAGGGAUGGCUGGAGGAGUGAAGUGUGUGGAGCCUUUGAGCGGCAUCACAACUACAAUAUAAGCCAGAUGCUGGCAACUGUUUUGCCUCAGUGGUGAUGGAUUUAUUCCAAAGGAGGUCUCACCAUCUCCAAGCUCUCCCAACUUGCCACCAAGACAGUUGUCAUUUCCAAAUGAUAAUUUCUGCUCUCUUUGGGGGGAAGAGGUACUGUUUGAGACUAUUUUGAGUUCCCAUUGCAUUCUCCACCGUGAGAACAGGCCCAGUUCCAGUUGGUGUUUUUUAUGGUCUGGAAGAAAAUGAUAAACGUUUCAGCAGACUCAUAAAUGUCAGCUUUGUGGCAUCCUGUGUUGUGGUUGGCUACGCGGUCACCUCUUCUUUGUAAGUCCUUGAGACUAUAAACAGAGGAAAGAGUUGGGAAUGGCCAAUUUAAGCUCUGAGAAGUCUGGAGUGCAACUAUGGCUUUUGAUGAUCCCAUCCAAAGACAAGGAUGGGUCAGGGCUGCUUUGUUACCAAGUGUCAUCGUCCUGAAGGAAAGGGCUGCAAGGCGGGACCAUCUGUGUUAUUGCUUGCCAUCAUGAAUGUGGUCUGUCUUACGUCUGAGAAACAAAGGAGUGAUUUGGGGGCAGCUGUAAUUGCGUUUUUGGAGCGAGUUCCUGUUCAGAUUUAACACUGUGACAUUAUGCUUCUAAUGUGUGCAAUUAAAACAGUAAAAAUAACAUCAUCUUUGCCUGUAGUGGCUUGG